CCAAUGAAAGCCUAGAGGCGGGACGUACACGUGCGUGCGCAUCGCGCGGGGGCGGGACUUCCGGCGCUCCGUGCAGCCUUUCCGUUACUCUCCGGCAGUUAUCCCGUUCUACACGCCGGUGUCCCCUAGGUGGGCACCGAGGUAACGGAGCGGAAAAGCAGGAGGAGAGGCGUGGUGCCCGCUGUCUAGAAGCGGAUGCGAGGCCCCCUGAGCCCGCAGUUGACGGCGGUGCCUUCGUUCCCGCCCUGCUCGCCGCCUCUCCCGGCGCCGCUCUUCCCACGGCCGGUGGCCGAGGCCGCGCCGAUGAACCCGGCUCAGGAGGCAAGUCUCUAACUGAAGACAAGGGUUUGAUAGACUACGGACAUUGGUUUGUACAUUCAGAUCAGUUCCAGCUGACCCCUAAGAUAUGUCAGUAAUUGGUUUAAUCUAGAGAGACAUUCUGUAUUGCUUCUUGCUUUAACUAGUGCAGAACAGACUGAGGGCGAGGAAGACAAGAAGGAGCCCAUCCCAGAAGCAAUUGCAUGCAUCCAGGACUUGCAUCUUCUAGGUCCCAUGUUGUCCAGCUAGAGCUGAGAGGGAGUGGACAUGGCUCCAGGCACAGCACGAGAGCCUCAGAGUGGGCCUGGCCCUGGUGAUUCACAUCUGGGGGAGGGUGUGAUGUCACAGCUGGGUUCACAUCAUACCAGGAACAUGUCCUGUGCCCAGCACUGUUUGGGUGUGUUGCACCCCAACCUUGAGUCUUUUGCCUGGCUGCUGACAUGGAGCUGAGGACCAAUAGACACCUUCUGGGCAGAAUAUUUCUGUAGAAGUGCCCCAGAUACAUCCUUCAACGGCAGACUUGUCCACCCAGACGACCUGUCCCUGGGAGAGGUGUAGGCUGGAAGAGCUGCACAGUCCCUGCUUCCACAUUGUCGUCACAUUGCGGGAAGCUGGGGAGGAUUUCCCUGGUAGCUCUGGCUUCCCCCUCCCAGCAGCCCUGGGAUCUAUUUGCUUUCCUUUAACAAAGACUUCGCCUGCUUGCUGCCUGUGUGUUCCUGGAGUUCAUUUCUUUGACUGCCCUGAUCAGGAACCCGGAUUCCCAUAUCAUCUUUCUGGUGGUAUCUUUUGGGGACUAGUCUGGGAUCCAAUCCAAUACAUCUGCACUCAUAAGAACGUCUGAGUCCCUGCCAGAUCUCCAGCAACAGAUUCAUGGGAUGUCUGAUCCAGCUCGCCCUCUGGAACUAGUUGACCUCUUCCUCCUGGUGGAAAUAUUUCAUCACCAUAGCCAUCAUCAUGAUCUUUAAUCCUUUUAUUUGGACCCUAUAUAAUUAAUUGUAUUUCUCACUUCAUUACAUCCCAGUUAAAAACUAUGGACCUGGAGUUCCCGUCGUGGCUCAGGGGUUAACGAAUCCGACUAGGAACCAUGAGGUUGCAGGUUCAACCCCUGGCCUUGCCCAGUGGGUUAAGGAUCUGCCAUUGCUGUGAGCUGUGGUGUAGGCCACAGACAUGGCUCAGAUCCCACGUUGCUGUGGCUCUGGUAUAGGCUGGUGGCUAUAGCUCUGAUUUGACGCCCUAGCCUGGGAACCUCCAUAUGCCGUGGGAGCAGCCCUAGAAAAGGAAAAAAGACACCCCCCCCAAAAAAAAAAAAAAAAAAACUUAAUUGAGCUAUAUAGUCAGUUUGCCUUGAACUAACAUACCUAAAAUGUAUGGCUUGGUAAAUUUUAAUCUGCCUAAGCCCAUGGAAUGAUCAUCAUAACAUUCAUCACUCCUCUAUCUUUUGACAUUUCUCCCUAGGCCCCCAGGCUCUGCCACUUUUUCACCUUCAGUUAGUGUUUUCUAGACUUCUUUUUCCUGAAAAUAAUACUCUGUGAACAUGUACAGAAAAUUCUUUAUAUGAACAUAUGACUUUAAAAUGAAAGCUCUUUUUACAUCCC
rnacentral:lncRNA from 1 species